UUCCAAGUGCAGACAUCUUACGUGCCUGUGAAUAUUGAAUAAUCUCUUGUCUUUAUCAGGACCCUAGAAAUCAGAAGAUAAAUACACCAAAAGUAAAUACCCCUGGAAGUGUUGUUAAGAGCAUCAAAGGAGGAGGCCAUCCUCAUCCUUUAAACAUUGGUGAUUUGUUUUCAGAAGGGUCUCUUAAUCCAUAUGCAGAGGAUCCCUAUGCAUUUGAUUAGAGAUUUGGAUCUACUGCUGCCAACGACAGAAUAACAGAUACAUGUAAUCCCCUGUAAUUUGUUAAUUCAAAGAAUUACAGCUGUUUGAACAGUCUCUGUUCAACGGGCAUAUAGAUGGUUUUGUAAUUGUAAAUGACAAACGUGACAUCACUAAUAUUUUCAUGAUAUAGAACAUAAACUGUAAGUUGCACUGGCUUGGUUUGUAAAUAAUAAUUUUUUUCUA